rnacentral:rRNA from 1 species
GAUGAACGCUGGCGGCGUGGAUGAGGCAUGCAAGUCGAAUGGGUUUAGACCCAUGGCAGACGAGGUAGGAACACGUAGGUACGUACCCUAGAGUCGCGGAUACUCCGGUGAAAAUCGGCAUAAUACGCGAUGGUCCCUUCGGGGUAAAGUUUUAACGCUCUAGGAACGGCCUGCGGUCUAUCAGCUUGAUGGUAAGGUAACGGCUUACCAUGGCUACGACGGAUAGGGGAGGUGAGAGCCUGACCCCCACCGAUGGAACUGAGACACGGUCCAUACUCCUACGGGAGGCCGCAGUCGAGAAUCUUCCGCAAUGGACGAAAGUCUGACGGAGCGACGCCGCGUGGUGGAUGAAGUACUUAGGUACGUAAACACCUUUUAUGAGUGAAGAAGUAUAUUGACAUUAACUCAUGAAUAAGGGGCUCCUAACUCUG